CGAUGCUCCUGAAGAUUUGGAGGAGCAUCCUAAUGAUGAGGAAGAGGUGGAGGGAAUUGAUCUGCACCAGCAACGUUACCCGUGGGAGGGAAGUGACAUGGAUUACUUAUACGACGAGGUAAGCAUAUCAUUAGAUGGUUUGCGGUCCAUCUUUGAGAGCCGUCGAUUGUAAGUCUCUAUCUUUUUGAAGUUGUACGACACUAAGAUGUAAAGAAUUAUUAAUCACGAUUACCUUACUAGCAGAGUUCUUUUGCACAGCUAUUGUCAAUGAAAUUAACACUGAAAAUUGAUGGUGCUAUAUUUCAUGUUCCAAAUGCUAACGCAAGCUCCAAUGUUGAUUCUCAGCUUUAACAUGCCAAAAUCACAAUGCAGUGGGUGUUGUAAGGAACCGUUUGUAAAUAAAUGUCUCGGAUGUAUAUGACUGCUUAGUUUGUUGCUUUUGACAGUGAAAUCACUAAGCUUGCAAUGUGUCAGGACAGCAAAAGCAUCUCAGCUGAUGAUUGUGAAUGAAAGGCACAAGCAGGGAACAUAUGUGUAGCUGCGUUCGACUCAACAUGUAGCGGUAUCUGCAGAUCCGCUGAUCCCAUUGUGGAGGUUAACAUGCAAUGUGUUGACCUGUAAAUCAUUAUUUGGAAGCUACAUUUCGAGGCAUUUUCUCAAUAUAUAAAUAGACCAUAGACAGAGUUUGAUAUUUAUAAUACCCAGUGAUCAUGGAAUCUACAGAAAACAGUCCUUUUGCAUAUUCUAUAUGGAACUAAGAGAUAUGUCAUUUUUUUGAUGAUUGUAUUAUGAUAGCUAAUAACAUAGGAGAUGACUAGAGAAAGAGAAAUGAGUAUGAAACUCUUAUAUGGAUAGCUUUUGUAAACACAUUUGAGUUUAUUAACAGCUGUGACAAGCAAUUAUGUUUAUAGUAAAGGAAACCCGCCGCAGCGUCAAUAACAAAUGCGCCUAUUUUUUUUGUUUUUUGGGAUUGAAAUAGCUUAUGUAUUUUCUAAAUCAAUAUAAUUGAUUUGAUUAAAGCUAUCUUGGAUGACAAAA